CUCCUGUCCUUCUGUCAAGCCCUGGAUGAAUAUUCAUGCCAGGUUAUUUUGAUCACGCUUUUUUCUUGACCUGACAUAAUUCUACAUGAUUUACUUUCCCUGCUCAGGGGUUAAAUUAAAAGAAAAGAGCUUUUUCACACCCCACCCCCCUCCCCUCAAGUCCAAAACUUUUUCUUUUUUUUUUUCUGGCUCUGAGACAGAAUAGGACACAGGACAACACAGAGGAGACUGCACUAGCAUGUUGCCAUUGAAAAUCGAUGCUCAUGUCCUUGGCCUGUCCUGUGGAAUGCGAUGUUCUGGACACUAAGCUCUGCAGCAAAGCUCAAGCUUAUUAGGAUGUGUCUAAAAUGGCGUGUCUCGGCACUUUCCCUACGUAGAGCAGCUUAUACCUGGAUCAAGAAAGAAUGAAAACCAAAGGGCCAAUGUUCUUUUCCCUUCGCUUAUGUUACAACCAGAGUCUGGGAUUCUCACUGCUGACAAUAGAGAUACAGUUAUCCAGUUUCUUGAGAUUUGGACUCUUCGGACCAAUUACCAUGGACAGAAGUGUCGUAAUUUCUCGGUACUGGUCAUAUAAACUUAGCACCUAAAAUGGUUCCUGGACCUUGAGUACAUGAAGAUGUGAGGCACACUGAACUCCCUAUGCAAAUCUUCGCAGUGCCCGGGGGACUUCAUCUCAACUUCAAGAUGCAAACCUUUACAAGCAUGCAGCUGUUCCGGACAUCGAGAAGGCAUCAUCAUGCCAGUUACGUAACGUGCUAUGCAAGCCGCAUCCUUCCAAGUCAUGUAUUCCCAGAGGACAACACAGUUAUGCACAGAAAACCUGCUGUCUCUUAAGUAUAUCCACUUUCCAUAAAUUUACAAUUAAUAUUAAUCCUGAUCUUGAAAAUAAGCUGUGAACCAAAGCAAAUCGCCUUAAAAACAGAUUUUCAUUAAUGAGGAGAUUUACUCUAAGUUUCUCCCCGCCUACCUUCCUUGCUUGGCUUUCAUGAAAAUUGCAAUGCAUCUUUCCCUGGUGAGAUCCAUUCCAUGACUGCUGUAACAUGGUUGAGAGCAUUUCGGUACUUAAUUAGUGCAGAAAUACAAGUAAAGGCAGAACCCCAUUCACCUCCCUCAUUCAUUUCCUUUCUGAUCAGUUACUGUGACAUUGCAUACCGACCAAGCUCCUAUACAUAGCCACAUGUCUUAACAAGCCUACCAGCUCAAGGCCUAAGCCAUCUUUAACCUCCCUUCUCCCCUCAUGCACACCUUGAACAUCAACAUCCAUGUAUGCUCACUUCAAGCUUUCAUUUAAGAUCGAGCACAUUUAAAGAGUCUACGAAUUGUCCAUUUUUCCAUCUUCUGCUUCUCUUUCCCUAUUCCUUCUCUUUGAUCACACUUGCCGGAGCUGUGUUUUUGCAGAGAGGUGGAUGCAUUUACCCAGGGCUCUAGCAAAAAUGUCUAUUUCCUUUU